CCUACGGGCGGCAGCAGUGAGGAAUAUUGGUCAAUGGACGAAAGUCUGAACCAGCCAAGUAGCGUGAAGGAGGACUGCCCAAUGGGUUGUAGACUUCUUUUGUAAGGGAAUAAAACGAGGCACGUGUGCCUUUUUGCAUGUACUUGAUGAAUAAGGAUCGGCUAACUCCGUGCCAGCAGCCGCGGUAAUACGGAGGAUCCGAGCGUUAUCCGGAUUUAUUGGGUUUAAAGGGAGCGUAGAUGGGUUGUUAAGUCAGUUGUGAAAGUUUGGGGCUCAACCGUAAAAUUGCAAUUGAUACUGGCAGUCUUGAGUACAGUGGAGGUAGGCGGAAUUCGUGGUGUAGCGGUGAAAUGCUUAGAUAUCACGAAGAACCCCGAUUGCGAAGGCAGCUUACUAAACUGUGACUGACAUUGAUGCUCGAAAGUGUGGGUAUCGAACAGGAUUAGAUACCCCAGUAGUC
rnacentral:rRNA from 1 species